rnacentral:rRNA from 1 species
UGAGUAACGCGUGAGGAACCUGCCUUUCAGAGGGGACAACAGUUGGAAACGACUGCUAAUACCUCAUAGCACAUAUUAUUCGCAUGAGUUUUAUGUUAAAGAGACUCGGUUACAGAUGAACAUGCGUUCCAUUAGCUGGUUGGCGGGGUAACGGCCCACCAAGGCAACGAUGGAUAGGGGUUCUGAGAGGAAGGUCCCCCACACUGGUACUGAGACACGGACCAGACUCCUACGGGAGGCAGCAGUGAGGAAUAUUGGUCAAUGGGCGAGAGCCUGAACCAGCCAAGUCGCGUGGAGGAAGACGGCCCUACGGGUUGUAAACUCCUUUUACCUGGGGAAUAACGGGCGCUACGCGUAGCGCUGUGCAUGUACCGGGAGAAUAAGCAUCGGCUAAUUCCGUG